GGUAAAAUACUCCUUGCCUGUAGAGUUACUACAGUAGAGAGUAAAAUCUUCAAGAAAACCCAUCAUGGAGAAGAUAGUUGGUAAAAAAACUCUUUGGCUGUACGGUUACAACAGUAGAGAGAAAAAAAACCCAUUAUGAAGAAGAUAGUUGGUCUCAAAUAAAAAAUGUUACAAGAAAAAAAACUCCUUGGCUAUAGGGUUACUACAGCAGAGAGAAAAAACUUCAAGAAAAUCCAUUAUGAAGAAGAUAGUCGGU